rnacentral:rRNA from 1 species
UACAGAGGUGGCAAGCGUUGUUCGGAAUUACUGGGCGUAAAGGGCGCGUAGGCGGCCUGGCAAGUGGAAGGUGAAAUCCCUCGGCUUAACCGAGGAACUGCCUCCCAAACUGCUUGGCUUGAGACCGGGAGAGGUGAGUGGAAUUCCCAGUGUAGCGGUGAAAUGCGUAGAUAUUGGGAGGAACACCAGUGGCGAAGGCGGCUCACUGGACCGGUACUGACGCUGAUGCGCGAAAGCGUGGGGAGCAAACGGG